rnacentral:rRNA from 1 species
UAGGGAAUAUUAGUAAUGGGCGAAAGCCUGAACUAGCAACGCCGCGUGUGCGAAGAAGGCCUUCGGGUUGUAAAGCACUUUUUGAGAGGAUGAGGAAGGACGGUACUCUCAGAAUAAGUCUCGGCUAACUACGUGCCAGCAGCCGCGGUAACACGUAGGAGGCGAACGUUAUCCGGAUUUACUGGGCGUAAAGCGCGUGUAGGUGGUUUGGUAAGUAGGGCGUGAAAGCUCCUGGCUCAACUGGGAGAGGCCGUUCUAAACUGCCGAGCUGGAGGAUGGUAGGGGGAGGUGGAAUUCCGGGUGUAGCGGUGGAAUGCGCAGAUAUCCGGAGGAACACCAGUGGCGAAAGCGGCCUCCUGGACCAUUCCUGACACUCAGACGCGAAGGCUAGGGUAGCAAACGG